rnacentral:rRNA from 1 species
CAGUCGCCACGGUAAUACAGAGGGUGCGAGCGUUAAUCGGAUUUACUGGGCGUAAAGCGUGCGUAGGCGGCCUUUUAAGUCGGAUGUGAAAUCCCUGAGCUUAACUUAGGAAUUGCAUUCGAUACUGGGAAGCUAGAGUAUGGGAGAGGAUGGUAGAAUUCCAGGUGUAGCGGUGAAAUGCGUAGAGAUCUGGAGGAAUACCGAUGGCGAAGGCAGCCAUCUGGCCUAAUACUGACGCUGAGGUACGAAAGCAUGGGGAGCAAACAGGAUUAGAUACCCGCGUAGUCCCUGUCUCUUAUAC